rnacentral:rRNA from 1 species
CCAGACUCCUACGGGAGGCAGCAGUGGGGGAUAUUGCACAAUGGGGGAAACCCUGAUGCAGCGACGCCGCGUGUGGGAAGACGGUCCUCUGGAUUGUAAACCACUGUCCCCAGGGACGAAGAUGACGGUACCUGGGGAGGAAGCUCCGGCUAACUACGUGCCAGCAGCCGCGGUAAUACGUAGGGAGCGAGCGUUGUCCGGAAUUACUGGGUGUAAAGGGAGCGUAGGCGGGACUGCAAGUUGGGUGUCAAAUCUACCGGCUCAACCAUGGGACUGCUUUUGAAACUGUCAAACUAGAGUACGGGAGAGGUAAGAGGAAUUCCUAACGUAGCGGUGAAAUGCGUAGAUAUUAGGAGGAACACCAGUGGCGAAGGCGUCUUACUGGACGGCAACUGACGCUGAGGCUCGAAAGCGUGGGGAGCAAACAGGAUUAGAUACCCGAGUA